rnacentral:tRNA from 1 species
GCGGGAGUAGCUCAGUCGGUAGAGCAUUUGCUUCCCAAGCAAAGGGUCGCGAGUUCGAGUCUCGUCUCCCGCUCCA